UACGAAGGGGGCUAGCGUUGCUCGGAAUUACUGGGCGUAAAGCGCACGUAGGCGGCUUUCUAAGUCGGGGGUGAAAUCCUGGAGCUCAACUCCAGAACUGCCUUCGAUACUGGAAAGCUCGAGUCCGGGAGAGGUGAGUGGAACUGCGAGUGUAGAGGGUGAAAAUUCGUAGAUAUUCGCAAGAACACCAGUGGCGAAGGCGGCUCACUGGCCCGGUACUGACGCUGAGGUGCGAAAGCGUGGGGGAGCAAACAGG
rnacentral:rRNA from 1 species